rnacentral:rRNA from 1 species
AUUGAACGCUGGCGGCAGGCCUAACACAUGCAAGUCGAGCGGAGCGGCGGAAGGGUGAGUAAUGCAUAGGAAUCUGCCUGGUAGUGGGGGAUAACGUCCGGAAAAGGGCGCUAAUACCGCAUACUAUCAGAUGAGCCUAGGUCGGAGUAGCUAGUUGGUGGGGUAAAGGCCUACCAAGGCGACGAUCCGUAACUGGUCUGAGAGGAUGAUCAGUCACACUUGAACUGAGACACGGUCCAGACUCCUACGUGAGGCAGCAGUGGGGAAUAUUGGAAAAUGGGCGAAAGCCUGAUCCAGCCAUGCCGCGUGUGUGAAGAAGUUCUUCGGAUUGUAAAGCACUUUAAGUUGGGAGGCGUUACCGACAGAAGAAGCACCGGCUAACUCCGUGCCAGUAGCCGCGGUAAUAC